UUACUGCAGCCUCCUUCCCUGAGGACACUUGGUGCUGUGCUUGGUCUAAUGCACACUAUUACAGGUUGCAGGUGGUAACAGAGCCUGCAAGUGAAUAUCAGGCUGUGACUGAUGAAUAUGUCUGUUAAUGACUAAUGAAAGAUGCACCUAAGGGAGAGAGGCCUGGAUGGGCUGAUUCACUACUGAUUCCAGUCAAUUAGCCUUAUGACUAGCUGUGGUCAUGACCCUGAGUAUUUAUUUACCAACCCUUGCUCUGUUCCAGACCAUUCUUCACUUGGAAAGUGCUCGAGCAUAUGUGGAAUUGCUCACCAUUAACAGCUUCGUGUAAGAGAGUAUUUUUAUAGUUACUAAACCUCUAUGGAGCUGUCUGUGCUCAUCUUUAACCCACCCUGGGUGUUGAAGAGGCUCCUUUUUUAAUUCACACUAGUGUGUGCAGUCCAGUUAAUGUUGCCACAUCCUCUCAAACUCAGCUUCCUGCUGAUGGGGAUGUAGCCCGCAACCCAGUCAGUGUGUGUUGUUUUCUUCUGAUGAAAAUAGCUGUUUUUCAGCUCUGGAGGGCAGGAGUGUGCAAGAUGGAAUACUUGUCCCUAUCCCAGCUGUGGUGCACAGCUCUGAUGCUGUGUCUGGAGGACUGCUGAGUGACAGUGGUUAGUUGCUACAGGACACUGACAAGGUUACUGUUACAGAACAGAGCAACAUCAAUGUGAGUUGCAUUCAGCAGGAGAGGCUGGCCCAAUGCCCUGGGCUGGUACUCCUUGAUUUGAAAGAUAAAACAAGGGUUCACCAAUUAAGACUUUUAAAGUCUCUCUCUUUCCCCACUAAACUUCUGAGUGCAGAAGGCCCUAAAGGCUCUGCUUUUGCAGCCCAGUGAGAUUGAUACUGGAAUAACUACUGACAGCCCACCCCACCCCUCCCUUUGCAAAUGCAACUCAUACGUGCUGUGGGCCACACUCUUUGGUGACUGCUUGGCAUUCUUCUCAGACUCAAGUCAAAAACACAGCACUGUACCAGCUACUAAGAAGAAGAAAAGUAACUUGCAGCUGAGCUCAGGAUACACGCACACACUGCUGUGCAGCUGCAGCCAAAUGAAAUAGACUGCCUUUUCCUGGGUUGGGGUUUUAUUUUCUGUUUUUUUAGCAGCUUCCUUUGGGGAAGCUAUAGUUCGCAUGAAUAAAACCUUUCCUGGGGGCACUGUUCUUUUUCCCAGGGAAUCUCUACUUGGUCUUCAGGGGAUAGAGGUCUACUGCUUAGAUCCUCUGGCUAUCUGCUUUUGAUGGGUCUAGCAGUUGAGUUACUGCUGCCUGGACGAUGCUGAUUCUGGAACCACAGAAGACACUGAUCCAUGGGCCUCAGCUGCUCAGCUUCUAUAUGCCCUUCAAGAAGGAAUUAGUUGCCUGAACUAAGAUGGAGAAGAUACUUGCUGGGCAUCUUUCAGUAACAUCACUGCAUCAGGCUAAUGACAGCAGUAGAGUAGGCUGUGCUGCUGGGGUCUGUAUGAGUUGCUGGUAUUAGGGCAGCUGCCUGCCAAGCCCAGCGUCUAGAGAAGCUGUCUGGCAUAUGCCUCAUGCUGAGCUAUGCAGUCACCCACAAAGAUGAGGAAGAUGGCAAAGGCAGCAAUGUCCCAUUUGGUCUCAAAGAAUAUUUUUAUUGCCAGCUGGUUCAGGAAGUGUUGGAUCUCAUUUUUCAGAUCUGGGCUUUGGCUCAUCAUCUCUAUUUCUGCUUGGAGCUGAUCCAGCCUUUCCAUUAUUUUCCUGAGUUGGUAUCAGGCUGACUGCUGUACAGUUACAUGUGUCCUCCUGGUUCCUUUACAAAUCUCUCUGCUAGCCCUGACACCUUCUGAAAAGUUUGAAGAUUUACUGAAAGCCAGUGUUGGCUGGCCUGAGAGUUCCUGGAAAAUGUAGAUGUAUUUCAGCAUCCUGUGAUAGGAACACAUUAUGACCACUUGGCAAGAGGAACAGAAAUAUUCAUUUACUCUUCUGUCCUGUCUUUGCUAUUAUUGCAGGUCAUCAAGGUAAUUCUGUUCAUUAUAGCAAUCUUCUUCCUUCCCUUAUCAGUUUUCUAUUGUUAUUAUUAUUUACUAUGUGUUUAUUAUGCAUUGGGUGGGAGCAGCUCAUUCUUAACUGCUUUCAUUUUGUUCCUUGAGCAAUCUGUUUUGAGGAGUGUUUUCUUUCUCCUUGGUUUUUCGUGUUUCCUCAGGUGGUCUCCUUUCCUGACUGUGGAAUUGGUAUUUUUAGCCAACAGUAAAAUAUCCUGAAAAAAAAAACAAUUACUAUAUUUUUCUGUUUCAGUUCCUUUCGUUUGUCAGUCUGGUGCCUGUAUGGACUAUCUGUGCAGAGGAAAUAAGUGAUGUCUUCUGGCUGUACAACUAAU